GAUGAACGCUGGCGGCGUGCCUAAUACAUGCAAGUCGAGCGAACGGACGAGAAGCUUGCUUCUCUGAUGUUAGCGGCGGACGGGUGAGUAACACGUGGAUAACCUACCUAUAAGACUGGGAUAACUUCGGGAAACCGUAGCUAAUACCGGAUAAUAUUUUGAACCGCAUGGUUCAAAAGUGAAAGACGGUCUUGCUGUCACUUCUAGAUGGAUCCGGGCUGCAUUAGCUAGUUGGUAAGGUAACGGCUUACCAAGGCGACGAUGCAUAGCCGACCUGAGAGGGUGAUAGGCCACACUGGAACUGAGACACGGUCCAGACUCCUAAGGGAGGCAGCAGUAGGGAAUCUUCCGCAAUGGGCGAAAGCCUGACGGAGCAACGCCGCGUGAGUGAUGAAGGUCUUCGGAUCGUAAAACUCUGUUAUUAGGGAAGAACAUAUGUGUAAGUAACUGUGCACAUCUUGACGGUACCUAAUCAGAAAGCCACGGCUAACUACGUG
rnacentral:rRNA from 1 species